rnacentral:rRNA from 1 species
UACGGAGGGUGCGAGCGUUGUCCGGAAUCACUGGGCGUAAAGGGCGCGUAGGUGGCUUUUCAAGCGCGCGGUGAAAGCCCGGGGCUCAACCUCGGGCCUGCAGCCGAUACGGGCAGACUAGAGUUCGGCAGGGGAGACUGGAAUUCCUGGUGUAGCGGUGAAAUGCGCAGAUAUCAGGAGGAACACCGGUGGCGAAGGCGGGUCUCUGGGCCGAUACUGACGCUGAGGAGCGAAAGCGUGGGGAGCGAACAGG